rnacentral:rRNA from 1 species
GACGAACGCUGGCGGCACGCUUAACACAUGCAAGUCGAACGAGAGAAGAGAAGCUUGCUUUUCUGAUCUAGUGGCGGACGGGUGAGUAACACGUGAGCAAUCUGCCUUUCAGAGGGGGAUACCGAUUGGAAACGAUCGUUAAUACCGCAUAACAUAAUUGAACCGCAUGAUUUGAUUAUCAAAGAUUUAUCGCUGAAAGAUGAGCUCGCGUCUGAUUAGCUAGUCGGUAAGGUAACGGCUUACCAAGGCGACGAUCAGUAGCCGGACUGAGAGGUUGAUCGGCCACAUUGGGACUGAGACACGGCCCAGACUCCUACGGGAGGCAGCAGUGGGGAAUAUUGCACAAUGGAGGAAACUCUGAUGCAGCGAUGCCGCGUGAGGGAAGAAGGUUUUAGGAGUGUAAACCUCUGUCUUCAGGGACGAAAAAAGACGGUACCUGAGGAGGAAGCUCCGGCUAACUACGUG